rnacentral:lncRNA from 1 species
GGGUAGUGAGAUAUCGAGAUUCAUAUCGAUAAAUACUCGAUCUGCAUAUUUUUUUUGUUAGCUGAGAUGUCAUCCAGAUAGAAUGCAAGGGCCUCCUUCAUUCAGGUCGAUAAAAACUCGAGCUAAAUUUGCUAACCGAUCAAUUGAUCUGCUGGGACCUAAUGCUUUCAGAUUGACGUCUCUUUGAUCUCAUAUGAUUAUGCCACGUAUCUCGAGAUUGAUUUAAUGCACCAAU